UACGGGGGGGGUAAGCGUUGUUCGGAAUUACUGGGCGUAAAGGGCUCGUAGGCGGCCAACUAAGUCAUACGUGAAAUCCCUCAGCUUAACUGGGGAACUGCGUGUGAUACUGGAUGGCUUGGAUUUGGGAGAGGGAUGCGGAAUUCCAGGUGUAGCGGUGAAAUGCGUAGAUAUCCGGAGGAACACCGAUGGCGAAGGCAGCUGCCUGGCCUGACACUGACGCUGAGGUGCGAAAGCGUGGGGAGCGAACGGG
rnacentral:rRNA from 1 species